rnacentral:rRNA from 1 species
GAUGAACGCUAGCGGCAGGCCUAAUACAUGCAAGUCGAACGGCAGCGCGGGUAGCAAUACCUGGCGGCGAGUGGCGCACGGGUGCGUAACACGUAUGCAACCUACCCAUAACCGGGAAAUAGCUCGGAGAAAUUCGAAUUAAUGUCCCAUAAUAUCAUGAAGUGGCAUCUCUUUAUGAUUAAAGAUUAAUCGGUUAUGGAUGGGCAUGCGUUUGAUUAGCUAGUUGGUGAGGUAAUGGCUCACCAAGGCAACGAUCAAUAGGGGUUCUGAGAGGAUGAUCCCCCACACUGGUACUGAGAUACGGACCAGACUCCUACGGGAGGCAGCAGUAGGGAAUAUUGGGCAAUGGAGGCAACUCUGACCCAGCCAUGCCGCGUGAAGGAAGAAGGCCUUCUGGGUUGUAAACUUCUUUUAUAUGGGAAGAAAGGACUCUUGCGAGAGGCGUUGACGGUACCAUAUGAAUAAGCACCGGCUAACUCCGUGCCAGCAGCCGCGGUAAUACGGAGGGUGCAAGCGUUGUCCGGAUUUAUUGGGUUUAAAGGGUGCGUAGGCGGCUUUAUAAGUCAGUGGUGAAAGACUGUGGCUCAACCAUAGAAUUGCCAUUGAUACUGUAGAGCUUGAGUAUAGUUGAGGUAGGCGGAAUUGACGGUGUAGCGGUGAAAUGC